UGGCGAUGUCUGGCGGUAGCACAUAGGGCUCCCCCUUCUGGCCCUUUGGUCCUUGAACUCCAAUGGUACCAGGGAAACCAGAGUGUCCUGGUGUUCCUGGGUCACCUGGGUCACCUACUGUCCCAUUACAGCCAUCAUGACCUGGCUUCCCCCUUGAUCCUGGCUGCCCUGGAUGACCAGGAACGCCAUCUGCCCCUGGGAAACCAGUGACUCCUCUUUGCC
rnacentral:lncRNA from 1 species